UUUUGUAGUCCCUGGGGAUGGGAAGAUGGGAGGGACUGGUUAUUCUGCUGGCAUAGGAGUGGAGAUUUGAUUUGCUUGUGUCAUUGUAGGAAAUGCACAGAUGGUGUGGGUCCCUCUAGGACCUUAUGACACAUCCCUGAAGGAUCUGGAUUCCACUCUCAACAGUGAAAACCUUCCCUCAGAUGACAACUGAAGAAAACUACUCAGGAGACAGAAAGACUUGUUCAUUGUCAGCACCUACCCAAGACGAGAAGGCUCUCUAUUCUUCAGCUACUUUCGGAUCUAUCCAGUACAUCCUUGCCAUAGUCUACAGAGUAGGUUCUGAAUAUAUCUUUGCAGAAUAAUGUCAUCAGCUAAUUGCAGGUAAGAAAUAAAAUGGCAUAUUUAAUUUCUAGAAAGUUAUUUUCUGUUAUAAUUAUUAACAAAACAUGCUACUAAAAAUAGAUUACUUGAAUCAAAGAGUUCAGCUCUAAAAGAUAGCA
rnacentral:lncRNA from 1 species